CCGCUGGAAAAAGUCAAAAGGGUUCCUGGCAUUAAAACGACUUUGCGUCAUUCCUGAUGAAAUUAGCAGCGCUGCAUGUUUAGAGCUUGGCUGUGGAUGCAUUUUGGUCACAGUAAGAAGUAAAGAGAUUUGGGGUUUAAGCCCCCCUCCCCCUCCCCCCCGCAUCUGAACAGGAGCCUUCUGCUUUCACUAGCUGCAAAUCCUGAGACCAGCACUCGAAAGCACCUUAGUCCUGCAGUCCAUUUUUUACUUGUCUUUAAGUGCAAGCGAUGGGAAUUGCUAACCUCGGCUGAGAAAAUUUCAUUUCCCCCAUCCUGCUAAACGGUUCUGGUCGACAUAUGUUUGUUAUCAGAGAGAGGUGCUAUGAACACAGAGCCAUUUUCUUAGUAGCUUUUUGACUCUGUGUUGCCAUAGUCCCACACGGCAUUGGUCCUUUCCCGUUGGGAAGUCAUGAAUAAGAGACUGUGAAGCUUGCACGUCAGAUCUUCCUCAAUUAAUCCACCAUUAGCAUGUUUGGGAUCCUCUACUGGAUGGUUAACAGCAGCUUUGGUAACUGUAUGCUGUCCAUGCCCAAUUAUGCUCUGCUAAAAAUGAACUCUGCAGAACAACCUUCCUGAGCUGUCAGUGUCUCCCGUUUUCUUAUUUUAACGCUUGUGUGUAGUGGCAGGCGACAGAUGGUGUAGAUCAGAUCGAUUUGAUUGCAUUAGGCGAUUUUUUUUUCCCUCCUCUCCCCCCCGACUCCUUUUCUGGAAGCCCACAUUCAUCUGAGAGGCGAUCGCCGGGGACAUGGGAAGCAAGAGCAGCCGCCGAUGUGUGAAAGCAACGAGACAUGGCCAGCCAGAGGCGCCGGGGUCCCUUCCCGGGGUUUGUUAACAUGGUAAUCCGGCACCAGGAGAGAAAGCUGCUUUCUGCUGCCCAGAGCCCACUCCCCAUCACACAUCAGAUGACUCCCUGGUUUUACACACGGAGUUCUGCUCGAAACCUGGAUUUAGAGGGAAUCUGUUGCUGCGUGUGACAUCUCUUGCAAGCUCCCAGAGAGAAUUGAUGGAGCAUACAGCCAGGGAAUAGGAUGCCAGAGAUGCACAGAGGAAGAAGCCAGGCAAUCACCAGCAUGGGAAGGUUCAGCGUCCGUUGGAUAUGGGACAAGAUCGCUCGGCAACCCUUGUGGAUUCUCCUUCUUCUAGAGGGGAGUUAUAGUUGUGGAUUUAUUGUCCCGGUGCAGCACUUCCACCACCACCACCAGCAACAGCAGCAGCUUUCUGACUCUCUUCGGUGACGGGUAUUCUUGGGUGGAUAAUACGGAUUACGUUGUUAUUGCUUAAGAAUACGCGUAGUCGAGGAGAGUACCGGCGGCGGGCAGGCAGGCAGGCAGCGCGACCGCCCCCAGCCCACCAGCUGGCUCCUCACCUCCUCUAGUUGCCAAGGUAGCACCUUUUCCGUCUUUUCCUACGCUUUGCAAUGUUUCACUUUGCCAGUGUCUCUGCCCGGGCGGGGGGGAGCUCGGACGCCCUGUCUCCUGCGGAGGGGGGGGGGGUGCCCGUGUGUGCGUGCGUGGGAGCAAGCACAGGGCCGGAGAGGGCCGGGGAAAGGCUUGCCAAGCCCCGCAGCAGCACGCCGCGGCGGCCCUGGCCCGUCGGGUGCUGCGGACAGGGGCUGACCGGGCGAGCCGGGGCCGCUGGGGUGCGCCUCCGCGGGCAGCGCUUGGCAGGCUGCACCGGGGCCGGGGAGGAGGUGCCCGCCCCGCCCGGGAAGCCCCGGUGCCCCGAUACACAGCCAACAGUCCCCAGUCCCCGCCGCGCCCGGAGCCCGCGUCUCCUCGCCCCUCUCCGGCGGGGAGCGCGGGGCGGGGACGGGGGGACUGGGGAGGACGGCCCGCCGGCCGGGGUGUCCUCGUUCCAGGGCACUGGCUGCCCGCAGGGCCGGGGCGGCGCCGGGUCUGCCCGCACCAGCCGUCAGAGCCCGGAAUGCUGCCCCCUCUGCGGCCCACGGGUCGUGCGGGGCCAGGGUGCUGCCCGCGGUCAGGGAGGUGCAGAGCACCCGUGCAAGCGAGGCCAGGGGCACUCCGCACAGCCGUGGCUGUGCCCUCCCCACCGAGAGGCAUCUGCUCCCUAGCUGCCGAGGGCUCCAGCCACCCGGUGAGGCCGCUACUGGGGAGCAGGUUGUGGCUGAUUGCUUCCGAAGGGUGACUCCUUGCUCCCUUAUCCUCAUCCCACAAUACCAACCUGGUGAGGCAGGAUUAAGAACUUACCUCACACCAGCCCCAACUCAGCAGGUUGGGAAGCACCCAGCUGAAUGUAGACCUUAUCCGCCUCUAAGGCCCCAGGUUGAGAUACAUGUUAAGGGUCAGGGCGUUGUUUACCCUUCUGCACCUCAGGUGGUGGCUUCUUUAGUAGUCCCCAAAUGCUUCUUGCAGCUGGGCAGGAGGGAGACACAACCAAGGGAGCGUUGAUUACCAUUGCUGGCCAAGCCAUGUCCCAUUUUUUAACACAGAAAAAGAGGUGCCUCGAUGGAGGCACCCUCCAGCAUCAAGGACAGGCUUUGGUUAAAACCUUGGUCAGCCUUUCAGAUGCUGUACUUGGGAAAACACAUUCAUACUUCCAGUCUUUUCUCCUCUGCUCCUCUGCCCCCAGGACUGCCAGGGGCAAGUGAUCAGCUCCAUGUUUCCCCAUUUGAGACAUCUCCACAUGCCCAGAGGAUCCCAGGUCUUGUUUCUACAUAGUUGCAAUUGUGAGACAAGGUUUUAGCUGUAAACGAAUUAGAUCAGAAGCCAUUUUAAAGCAAGACCAAGAGUAUUGUGAUGAGAUAGCUUUUUGAAUGGAUCCUUCCCCAAGCUCAGCUAUGAUGAGGCUGAGAAUGAUUUUUUAACAUGGAUGAGCCAGAUGUGGGGUGAUCCUUAAGUUGUGAGUGAAAGGCUUGUUGAUGGAUAAUAUCUCUUGCUUAGCAUUUGAAAGGUCAUCUAUAUUCUGCUUAAUUGUUUCCAACAACUGCCAAAGGAAUCUUACUCUGUUGCCUGCAGUAGUGAGUGGAACGCUUAUUGUUACACAGCCGUGUGGAUGUUAUUCUUUAGACACAUCUUUGAUGCCAGCGCUCUGAUCCUCAUGUUUCUCUAAUAUUACUUGAAAGCAGAUUUUUUUUCUUGUAGUUUAGUAUGUUCAACAGCCUCAGAAAUAAUGUUAAAUUAUGCUUUAAAAAGACAUGAUCAGCUGCUAAAUCAUAGUCAGUUCAGCACUGUAACCCAGCCACAUUCACAAGUGCUGCAGGAAUAGCAGUGGAAACACUAUUUUAAACAUCCAGGUUUGUAUUACAAACCUUCUUCUGAUCUGAGCUUUUAGUUGACAUCUUCCCUUCUAAGUCAGGACUUAGAGUAUUAUCAGGAGUUCUCAUUUCAUCACAUAAAGGAUGUGGUUCUGUUUGCUCUUUGCUUGGUUGAGUAUCUUGUGCAGUAUACAUUGGACUGGUACCCAAAAAGACAAGCUUAGCAAAAUGUUUCUUUAUACCUGGUUUCUUCUAGUUGCCUUCUGUUUAGCAUGAUGAGCUGGUUUUGCUGAACAAUACCUUAAUGACAGGGCUGAUGCAUUUUUAAUGCUUGUACUCUUUGUCAUUGUCAAAAUUAACAUUUUGAUGAUUGUAGGUUUCUUUUCUCUAAAAUCUUUUGAGAAUUGUUAUGAUAUGUGUGUUGAAAGAGUGAAACUGUACGGUCCAAUCGGAGAAAUACUGGAUAUGCUCACCAAAAUAAUUAUAAAAUACUGUGUAAAGGCUCAAUAGCAUAAGGGCUCUUAGAAUGAUGUUUUCCGAUAGCAUGAUCUCAGAGUGGCGCUCCCCAUUCAUUAGCAGUUCCUGGGAUCUGUCAUAUAUGUAUAUUGAAGGACAGAAGCAGUCAUUUCUGAACAGCAGAUAUCUAAAAUGAGACUAUUUACACUGCGAGCCUGAUCUUGGGCACACACGUAGCUUCCAUGGGACUAGUCAUGGAAACAAGGUUGCUCGUGCUAAAUCCAAAAUAUUUUGGGCCAAAUCCUACCAUCCAAUGCAAUAGCAAAGCCCCAGUUGAUUUCACUGUGGGAAAGAUUAGACACCUAGGGAAAGUGAUUUUUACAACGCUACACUUCCUAUGUUUUUGCUUUAGAAAUUGCGAGUCCUGUGUGCUAAAAACUGAGUCUAAAAACCCCCUGCCUCUAAUAGUCUAAUGAUAUUUUAUUAACAGUAGAAAUUAUACUAAAAGGCUAUAGUGCAACAUAAUAAGAAAUUACUUUCUAAAUAGGAGUUUUUAAUUGUAUCAGUAUGAGUAUUUUCUAAGACAACAUUUUAGAAUGAGGUUUGUGGCAGCACCAACUGUGUGUUAACAGCUAUUUUGGCGAGUGCAUAUUUAAUUAAUUUAGAAUACUAGAUUUCUGUUCUAAAAUUGUUUUUGUAAUAUGCAUUCUGGUAGAAAAUUAAAUAAAGAUUUAGCCCCAAAAUAAUUACUUGGAUUUAGCCUUUUUUUAAAGGCCAUAAUCCUAUGAAGAUUUAUAUCUCUGGGUAAUUUUAUCCACUGGCUGCUCUCAUAGGUAAGUCUUUGUUAUGCUAGGGCCCCCGCAGCAGCAUAGCUGAUGGAGCAGCGGACACUGGGAUGGCAGCUGCCCCAAUGCAGAGCAGGGUGCUGCAGGGUCCCCCCGUGCAGCCGCCCGUGAUGCUGACUGCUCCCCGACCAGCUCCAUGCCAGGGAGACAGCAACUGCUCGGGCCUUGCCAGAGCCGGGGACUGCCGAAAGGGCUGUGACUCCGAGCACCAUGGGCACGUCGUGCCCCACUGUGGCAGUGGGAGCACGAAGGGUAGCUUUGGUGCCUAUCACCCUGUGCAGGUAGGGGAACAGCCAUGCCUGGGUCUGCCUGAAACAGACAGCAUUGCCCUACUUAGCAACACCCUAAAUUAAGAGAUGAGGACUGCCAUUCGAUUUCAGGUGCUCUUUCCGCAAAUAUUUAAGCCUACAGCUCUUAUAUGUAUACGUAUACGUAUCUGAAUUGAAUGAGUAUAUAAAUGUACAUAUACACAUACACACAUUUCUCUGACGGGAGGCUACAGCACAGUAAGAAAAGCCCCACUUUCCCAGAGCUGACAGAGGCACAGCUCCCACUCACCUCAGCAGGGGCCGUGCCGUUGCAGUGCGUAUUUAUGACUGGUGUUUUAAUUCCUCUUGCUGUUUGCAAAUUUCCCUAAAAUAAAUGCAUACAUUGCACGUAGAUAUGUACAGUUAUACAAAUGCCUUUUCUUGGGGUCAGUUCUGCUUGCUUUCUGCUUUUAAGACUACAUCUGAUUUUGAAAUGAGUGUAAGAUUCCUUCCCGUAACAGGUUAUUGCCUUUUGUGUCAGUUUAGGUGGCUUCUAGUGUUCAUACGUGUUUCUUAAGGAAACUGAAAAUAAUAAUAUCUAUACAUCCACACAGCUAUAUACAUACUUUGCAGCUGUAGAGAAUAAGCUAACUAGCUUUUUUCUCUGGGUUUUUAGAUCACAGUAGAAGUAAUAUGUACAACUGGAUUUUUAUGCAUUUUUUAAAAUAAAUAGUGUCUUUACAUACACAACAGGCUUUUCUUCUCUUCCUUUCAAAAGAUUACUAUUUUUUCUGAAAAGCACUCCCUCAGGUAUUACCUUUAGCUCUUUUGACACCUGACCAUUUAAUGUGGUAAAUGUAAAUUGUAACACCCAUUAUUAAUAAUCAUAAUUUCUUAUCAGAUUCAGCAUCUGCCUCUUGAAAGCUAUAAUGGUGGAAACAUUUCCUGGGCUAAAGCCCAUGAUGCUUGCCUGCUUUUUAUUGCUAUCAUUUAGUAACCAAAUUGUUCAAACAUCAAAGGACUUGAUUCUCUCAUACCUGCAAAGUGUAGCGCUAUUUAUAAAUGUUGGCUAGAUAAUAACAAUGACUCAAAAGAAAUUUAAAUGACAGGCCAAAAAUAAGAAGUCUAAAAAUGAAAAUCCAAGCCAGAAUUCAUAGAGGUGAUGGGAAGAGUCUGACAUUGAAGGACGGAGAUGGUCCUAAGGAAGGUAAAGAGAAGAGGACUGGAGGUGAUGGUAGAGGGUAGAUGUGCUGUGACUUUGGAAAGCCAGAGGGCAGAUGAGAGGAGAGGCACCAGGCAUGGCAGGCAAGGAGAUAUUGCAGUGUGGUGCUGGGAGAAUGUGCCAGAAAUGUGGAAACCAGGGCUGGAACACCACACACAUUUGAUUGCUUGCUUUUUGGAAAAACAGUAUGUAGUUAAAAGCAGCCAAGAAAAAAAUAGAUAAAAUGUUUCAGAAACUGGAGGGGUUGAUCGAUGGGGAAAAAUAAGAGCCCUGAAGAUAUAGCUGAAAGGAAUUUUAUAUAUAUACACAUAUAUAUACGAAUAUACAUACCUAGACACCAUAACAUAAUAAUGCCCAUAUAGAUAAAUGAAAUUAGUAUCCUGCUUUUGAAAUCAUUCUCCUACAGAAACUGGGGGGGAUUUUCUAUUGAUUGCAGUGUGGCCAGAAUUUCUCCCAUCUGCAGGAAAGUGAUGUAGCCUGGUGUGUGCAAAUAGACCUAGGAACUAUGUAGGGAGAAAAUGCAGUGUGGCUAUCCUUUCAGUGGACCCAAUUCCUCUCUAGCCAGUGGGGAUGAUAUAGAGUAACGGAGCAAUCUCCAGGCAGGAAAGCCCUUGCUUGGGAGAUACAAAAUUACCUUGGCCAAGCCGCUGCAGGCAGCAGUCACCCUACGAGGGUUGGGGAGAUCUCGCCUCCGACUUCUGUGAUACACCUCCAUGGAGGAGGAAUGGUGCUGAUAACUCCCUUAUGCUUUAUACCACUAGAAAGGAAGAGAUAGGCCCAUAAGAAGCUAUUUAAACCUUGCAAGAUACUCUCAUAGAGUAUUUCAGAUUAGGUCAAAGUUACAUCUUUUAUCUGUUUCAAGGUCAAUUGUCACCACAGUACCAUUCUGUAUCAGUUCAUCUGAAUCGUAUGUAAUGUACACCCCCUUCACACUAUUACAUUAGGCAUGAAAUGUUGGAAAAAUACAUCUGACUUUUCUUUAAUACUAAGAAUUGCUGAUUCAUAACCUUGAUUGGAAUAUUAGCAGUUCUCUUACUAAGUCAGGACAAUAUCACAAAGUUUAUUAAUGUUCACAGGUCAUGCCUAUCUUCUAAAUCACUGAAAAUCAAUGACAAAGAGAUCACCAUGGAAUUGGUCUUCUCUAAUUGGCAAAAGAGGGACAUUCUGAACCAGAACAGUACAGCAUUUGAUUGUACAGCCUGUUACCAAAAAAAGAACCAUCUCACUAUAUCUUACAGAAGCAUUUACAUAGAUAAUGUAGAUUUCAUAUGACUACUUUUAGAUUUAGUAAUAGCUUUGCAAGAAUUCACAUUCCUCUAACAAGAAGUUAGUAGAAAAUUCAAAUAAAAAGGCAUCACUGUAAUUACUGCAUUGUAAAGGAUUUAUUUUAUUUUUUUUUAGUUAGGUGGGAAAUAGCAAGAGCAGGGAGGCUUGAUGCAUUAAUGCUUCACACCACCUGGAAACCCAUCCUUUAACAAUCAUUCUUCAGGAGAUAACUUAACUGGUUACUCCAAGAAAACAUAGAGCAGUAUUACCUCUUUGUCAAAUUGCCAAAACAUUAUUCUGAAAUCCAAAAUUAUACAGUCUAAUGCCUGCUGUUUUACUGAAGCAACAGUUAUUACAGGCUUGAUGCUCUGGUUGUUAAAAAUGACCGUUACAGGGAAAAAUUAUUUCUUUUUCCCCUACUUUCUUUUGUCCACUUGUCCACUGCCUGGCUGCCUACCCUUCCUGUUUAUGAUACAUGCAAGAGAUUCAAGCAGAUGUAAGGGUUUUUUGUUUUCAGGGUGUUUUAUUUUACAAAUGUCAGAAUAAUUUAAUUCUUUUUAUUCCUUUUUUUUUUUUUUUCCUGAAUGUCUUGAGCUAUAGAGAAGAGCAGCAAAAACUUUCUCAGACCUCAGUCUAAUAAGUGGUGAUUUUUUCAUUUUUAAGAAAAAGGCCUUUUCCUCUGCAUGUUUGUCUGGGGUCUGACUUAUGCAGAGAGCAAUAACAUAAUUACUUUCAGGUUUUCAGUCCAAUCCUUUGCUUUCUGGCUGUGCAUGUUUUAUUGUCCCUUAUUGUGUUAUGACAUCAUGUGGCUAUUGUACAUGUGAGGACAUAAACUCAUUUGCCUUCGGUCAUUCACAGAGCCCCUUGGUGAAAACGCGAUCUGCAAUUCCUGCUCUAGGAAGCAAAUAACAAAACCACUACCUUUUGCUCUCCUUGUUUAGAUGCUUGUAAUUUCUGCGUAUGUAAAUUCUCGCCAGUGAAGAAUGCAGGACCAGUCUAGACCCUCGAUUAGAGAUGAAAAUAGACAUGUUUCAUUUUAAUUUGCUGGAGCUGCAGUAAGGCAGUGCUGCUCACUCUGCUCUAGUCUCCUUGGUACAGAGGGAGGAAAACUCCAACAAGGGAAAAGAGGCUGAAUGGGCAUGACGCAAAAUCCAAGGAAAGCAAACCAAAUAAAUAAAUUCCCUCACAAAAUACCUAGCUGGAAUUUUUAUGGUUUAUUUUUUACCAAAUGCCACUCUAUUUAAAGUAUUCCACAUUUCUUGGACGUAAAACUUAAAAAUGCGCCUCACAGAGGGGCUUAGAAUAAUAGCUCUGAUUUCUUUAAUAAAAUCUCUCUUCUGAGAUUAACUCUGGAGCUAGCAGUAAGGUCAGUAUUUCAUUUCAUAGAAGUCAGCUCAUGCUGACAAGGGUUUGGCCUUCUUAGUAAUGGGCCGUUUGCUGCUCAGAAGUGUGAGGAAUGGCUUUCCAAAAUAUCGAUAUCUUGCCUUUGCUGGAGUUCAUGAUCAAAUUUAGCUGGCAAGUAUCGAUGUGCUACAGCACCCGGACUGAUGGGCUGCGAGGCUUGGGCCUUGGGCCAGCCACUAAGGUUUGCUUUUUAAAUCAGAGGCUAACUCUUCCAUUAGUGUAAAUCAGUGGUUUAUAAUAAUGUCCAAUGAGAUUUGUGCCAGAGUAGUCCAGACUACAUCCUGGUCUUAGCAUUUGAAAAGGAAUAGAAAAUUUAGGCUGAGACCAUUAGUAUUUUGUUUUCAAUUGGUUUUGGUGUGUGUGUGUGUGUAUAAACGUGCCUAUACACACAUGCACACCCAUGCAGAGCUGCAUUUAAUUCCCAUGGAUGUUUCCCAUGGCCAUGUUUUUAUCAUUGAACAAAGACCCAGGAACACAAAAUCUUCAUCCUGGUGUAGUUUAAUUGACAUGUGCAGAGAUCUCACAUAAAGGCUCUGGGAUCCCCCUUUCCAUCCAUUUAAGGAAAGCAGGCAAGCUUCAUCCCUAGCUAAACCCUUCACACAAUAUACAUCACUAAUGAGGCAGCAUCUAUUUAUAUAUUGUGUUUACAAAUUGUUUGCUGGAAAUGACUGAAUUCAGACAGAAGUUGGUGAGGCAGCCUGAGCCUCCAUGGAGUCUAUUGUUAGUACCCAGGAUGACUCCUCAGGCAAAUGGGGAAGAGAGGCAUGACUUGGAGCCUACGGUGCCAUGCCAUAGCAGCUUUGGCCCCAGGCAGGUGGUGUCUCCUCUCAGAGAAUGCCUUUGAUGGCUCUGCCAGGACCCAGCAGGGGAGGAAUGCCAGAGAAAUGGUUGUGACAGCAGGGGGGCAAGAGCACAGCCCCAUUGUGGCUCCCUGGGAAGCGGCAUGCUGACCUGGGUGUAUCCACUGGGUGAGAGCUCCCUGCCUUUCUUCAUGAGAAAAAAUGUCCCAGAUGGAAUGGGAGGAAGGCAAUACUAGUUUGAUACACACUGAUGCCUUUUUGCCAUGUCUUUGCAGAAGGUUUUCAACAAUAUUUUUUGUUUAACUAGGAAAAAAAAAAGAUGCAGUAAACCAGCCCCAUCUAGCAUUACAAUGUUGGUUAGGUAGGUCUGUGCAGCUGAUAGUCUAGUGAUGAGGAUGAGGUGCAGUGCUGAUACAUGCCUGUGACAAUGAAAACUUGCUUGUCUAUGAGAUGUUUAGCAUAAAUAAGGCACUCAAAACCCCUUAGCAAAGCACAAUCCAGACAGCACUUUUGCUCCAUGUCCUUUUUUUCUUUUACUUUCCUUUGUGGCCCUUGUGUAUUUUGCCCAUAUGCUCUAAAGCUAUUUUGUUUUCAGUUUUGUGUAUGUUUUAUGUAAAUUAGAAAAAUCAAGUUCUUCUGCUUGCUAAAUUAUAAGUUGAGUGGAAAUUGGCCAGCUCUCUUUAGACUAUGUCUAUAAGUUAUACAAAAUAUAAGUAAUCAAGCUGAGCAGGCUGGGUUGGGGAGGGGAAGCGCACCUAUAGCACGGGCCAUGUGAGCUGUGACCAUGCAUCGCUGUAUACUGCCGAUUGCCCUUGCAGCCUUGAGUAUCUCUUUGCUUUAAAGUGCCAGUCUAACUCCUUUCAGGCUGUUCUCCAAGAUGCAGGUUUAUUGCCUUCUUUGGUAGUUUGCUCAGCAUAUUCAUUACACCUUGUAUAAAUGAACUGCUCUUAAAAUGGUUUUUUCCAUUCUUGCUUUAGGACCAGAGUAGAUCCAGACUGCCUCUUCUGGGAGCACUGAUUCAUUUUGUUUCCCUUCUUCCCCUUGAAUGUGAGGCCAGUGGGCUAAGCCUCAUGAAGCAGAGAAGAGCUGCCUUUAGACUGGAGUUUGCACCUUCUAUUUCCACAGUCGAAGCAGGAAACUGGUCCUUCCCUGGAAGAAGUCAACUGAAGAGGCAUUAUCCAUUCAAGUAGGCUGGUGGGACCACAUGAAGGCCAGUGGUCAUUGUCAUUGACCAGCUCUCUUCAAGCUGGCUGAGAAGCUGAAUGGUUCUGUUGAUUAAAUUCCAUCCAUUCAAAAGGAAAUUACCAUUAUAAUGUUUUGGCAAAGCAAAAUAUUUUUUUUUUUUUUUUUUUUGCUAGUAAGAGUUUAAGUCUUGUGGAGCCAUGAUCUCCUCUUAGGAUGUCAAAGAAAGAGGCUUCACUAUUCAAAUGCUGCCUGCCUUACCAGCCUGCGUUACCCUGAUGAUAAAGUGCUCCAGCGACAGAAGUCACCUUCUGUGUUCAGCUGAGCUCAACUGGAAUUGUGAUCUGUGGCUGUGCCGCCAAGUGAUUUUGAAGACGUUCCGGGUGCAGAGCUGUGCCACUGUAUUUCAAGUGAUAAUAAAAGCUCAUCGGAUAAAUUGAAGGAGCAUGUCUUUUCAUUGCAGCAAGUUGGGACUGUAUGAGCAACUCUAUCAUUGUGCUGAGGCAGCAGAUGCAGUCAGUGUUUGGAGGAAAUGGUUCAUGACCUGAUGAUGCUUCCUGAGAGAUGCAGCCAGGAAACAAAGACGUUGAGGGCCCCUCGGGUGGAAGUAACAUCGGAGGGGUGGGCGAAGGAAGCAGGAGGAUCAGGCAAUGGGAGAGCUCCUCUCCCAGCCUGUGCCCACAUGCACAGCACUGCAGAGCAGUGAGGGGCUCUGAACCCCCCCACAUCAGGGGCUCUACAGGGGCACUUGAAUUCCAGCUGAGGGUUUGGCCUCCUAGUCUUUGUAUCAGGUGAAUCUAGCUCAGCUGCGCUGGUGCAAAGGAGUGAAUACAUUUUGAGGAAAAAAAAAAAAGCAACAUAAAGGUGUACUACAUAAAGAUAAAAAUGCUGCUAAUGAACCUCAUUGUCAAUGGCAUUAUUUGCAGCUAUUACCUGGACAUUAAAAAAAAUAGGUGAAAUAAAGCUGUUUUUUUUCUGAAGGAGUGAAAGUUUCUUCACUAACAGUCCACUCCCUGUGUGGUUCUCCUCUCCUGUGUUUCUUGGUUCCCUUGUUGCUUGCUGACCUGCUCACCUGAGGGGCUGUGCUGGGGAGCAAAGCUGCGGCUGCUUUGAAGCCUACUGUGUCCAUGGCUGCUCCCUGGAAGGAGGAGAGAGAAACUGGAGGAGGCAGCACCAAAGUGAGGGUAAGGGUGUGGAUUGGGGUAAGGGAGCAGGUGAUAGAACAGCUCCUCGAAGCAGGGACUGAGGACGGUGUGCUGCUCUGAGAAGUUGCAGUGCCUGACAGGACUUGUCUCCUGCCGGGGCAGGUCACCUUCCCUUUGUCUUGACACAGUGCUGGAGUGUGUGUGCCUGUGUCUGCAUGUGUGUUUGUGUGUGAGCAUGUGUGCUGAGCCCAGAAACCAGUCACUACUGCUCUGGGUCUUCUCAUAGACGCUCAUUAUAUUCUUUGCUGCCCUAUGAUUUGCAGUAUCUAUUUUAUUAUUUACAUAAACUCAUGCUCUUACUGUCUUCAGGGAAUUUCACCCAAGAAAGCACUGAGCUAAUUCACCUUCCUUCAAAUCCAUAAGCACAAACACCUUCGAUGUAAUUUUUCUGCCCCUGGGAUCUCUGUAUUACUCACUUUGGUUAGGUCCUUUUUAAAGAAGUUAAUAAUCUGUCACCAUAAGUCCAUUGACUCUCAGAAGAACAUUUCUUCCAUUCCUGAGGUCACUUUCGUAACCAGUUUGCAUAUUAGUGCUGUUUGUUAGCAUCUGAUCAGCUUUUCUCUGUAGUAUUAGUGUGCAUGCACUUUCUUUAGUAGUAUCUGAAGCUCAUAAGACACCUAUGAGUUUGCCUCCUGAUGGGAGAGAAGGUAUCAGUAGUCUGUGUUUUGUGUCUUGAGUCUCUUAAAAGGACUAGAAAUCCCAAAUGCAGUAACUUGUGGAUUUUCUGUCUUAGAGAAUUAGGAUGUCUUUGCAUUACUGAGCAGGCAAACAUUGAGCAGUGCUUGAUCAAUAAGAGGCAUUGCCAGAGGUCUGGUAUAGUCUGCCACAGCUAACGGUAAGUGUUGCUAUAGGCUAUAGAACUAGGAAUAUAAAAUGUUGAAUGACAGUAAUAAUUCAUGCAUCCUGGGACACAUAAAACAAACAGCAUGUCAAUAGCUGUGGCAUGCUCUGCAGAAAAUAUGCAGGAUUUAGAUGUUGCAAGAGGCUGUGUUUUAUUUUAAACCACAUUUUCUUUGGUGAAAUAUAGACUUUCGCCAUUUGUUAAAAGCAUUUAUGUUGGGUUUCAUGGUGCUAGUUUUCUAUUAAGAUUCAAAGAGCUGCAUAGCUGAAAAGGGGCACUGAGAUUGAAAAAGCAAAACGGAUGUAUAUAUUGAAGAAAAACACAUAAAAGAUUUAUAAAACAGAGGGUACAAUGGUAUUUGAGAUUCAUGGACCAUUUCUGCAUUCAUAAAAGUAUAUAUGGUUCUUAUAUUGGCAUCACUGGGAAUCGGACUUUGCUAGAUGAGUUACCCAGGAGGUAUCUGGUAUUGCUUUAAAAUUACACUUAUUACAAUCACUUUGCAUUUUACUUGGAAAGCAGAAUAUCUUGUGAAAUAAGAACUUUCCCAGUAUUUAUCUUCUUAAAAAAUACUUCAAGAUAAUUAAUAUUGCUUGUCUUAGAAAGAUACCAAAGAGGGUGAAUUAUUGCAUUUGGAAGGGUACAGGGAUAAGAAGAAAGAUGGCAUCUAUGUGAUACAUGUUCUCCCCUGUGCCACUAUUGCACUGCUGCGUGGGAACCUAAAAGUGACAAGUGCUGUUUUACUGGCUAAGGCUCCAACAAAAAUUCUUCAGAUUAAAAUUUAAUGAGAAAAGUCAAAAAAAAAUAUGUUCAAGCAUUCCCAUUCUUAUUCUUUCAGCUGUAUGCUCCUGUGCACCUCAGCCAUGUGUUGCCAGGUCUCAAUUUCUCUAAAUCUGCCUGGAACUAGAAAGGCGAGACAGAGAAGUUGCAUGUCACUCAUGAUUAUAUGAAUAUAGGCCUUAGCAUACAGGUAAUACUUCUAAAAGAAUGUAAAAUAUUAACAAAAAAUAAAAGGAAAAGCAUCACAAAGAAACCCACCAUGCAUUAUUUAAAUCUUCCCUGUGAGAGGCUGAGGACUCAAAUGCAUAUGAAUCGUCUGCUCUUCCAUGUGAUAGCAAUCCCUUCACUUCAGAGUUGCAAGGUCCCAGCUCCUAGUUGUCUGCUCAGGAAUUUUUUUUUUUUUUAAGGUGUAUAUUCAAAUAAAUCACCUUAAAUAUAAUUUCUGGUUUUUGAAGACCAUAAAGUUAUUUUGGUGCAGUGGACUGCACCUACAUAAACAGGCACUAAUAGUUACUUCAGCACACUUGCUGAAGCCAGACUGGGACAGAGAUCAUGACAAAAAUGGAAGAAAAAAAAAAAAAAACCACAAGCCUGCUAACUGUCUGAGACCUUGUUCUGCUCCUUUGGCUUGGUUUGGGUAGGAUAUGUUUUACAGUCCUCCCCUGACACUUGGCAAAUUUAAAGCUGUCACUGCUGAUCUUGCUUCUCUUAGUAUUAAAAGAAUGUCUAUGAUGUUUUAUAUUAUGGGGGGAAAUUACUGUAUCUACUUAUUUUAUUUUCAUUGUCUCUUUUCUUAUGACUGUACUGUUUGCCAGCAGCUGAGGGGCCACUUUGCUUGCCUUGAUGCCAUGGUGUGUUGAGCCCACAGUUUUCCUUUCUAAUCAGAGCUGGCAUACUGGGUGGAAAAAAAAAUAAAGCUUUUCUAUAAUUAUGGUUAUCUCUUAUAGUUUGCAUUUGUUAUAGCUGCUGGGGUGCUGGAAACCAGUGUUUCUAAAUACCUAUAUAUAUUUUCGGAUUUGUUUUGCAUCUUGGAUAUGUUUUUGCCUAUUUCUGUUCCUCACCCCGGUCACUCAUGCGAGCAGGCUUGUGUCCCUGUGCACUGAAUGGUUCUUGCCUCGGGAAGGUAUCAACCUGCACGUGUUACCUGUUACAACCUACACCUUGGUCACUCUUCUCACUCUAAGAGAUGGCAUCCCAUCAAGGAAAACAAAUGAAUCUUGUACAGUUAAUUCACCCAGGGUAGUGAGUAGCCAAAAUACCAAAAGCAUGAAUGCUGGCAGCAAGGUCAGAGUCAGCCCAGUGGGACUCAGGUGUAUUGCAUGAACCCACCUCUGCCUUGCUGCCCUCAGCGGUCUAUGGUUUCACCAUGGGUCCUACUGUGUGUUACAACACAUUCUUGUGCCCACAGAAAGAUUCACUUGCUGGUUACCUUCUUUGCCCAUUGCUCCAUGUCGUGAUGCCAAGCUGGACCUGAAUAAUACCCACUUGGAUGUUGCUAUUACUUUUCUUCCUAUAUCUCACGGCCAUUUGUGGAUUGAUGAGGGACUGUUUUGUUUCCAUUUUACGGAUGGAAAGGGAGGGACUUCAAGUGGCUGAGUGAUUUGUCCAGGAUGAUGGAGCAAAUCAAUGGAAGAAAAAGGGAUCAGGCCACUUCCUGCAGUUUAGGAGUGUCUUUAACUGCCCUGUGGGUUUUCUAGGAAAAGGCAUGCAGAUCUCCAAAGAGGCAGCUUCCAUCGCAGCAGUGCUCCUCUGUUAUUUCUUUCAGGUUAUUGCUGUGAGUGAUGGAGAAAGGCAAAAUGUAUUAUUCAUCUCUCCUGCUCAUAAAAUCAAUACCUAUCAAAAUACAAAUACAAUUUAAAUCAAAGGGCACUUGUUGAGUGCAGAUCCUACUAAUUAGGUAUGAUUUCCCAACAAUUUCUUAAAUUAUUUAUCCAAGGGAUGGGUAGCAGACACUUCAUGUGCCCCAGAGUGAGUAUUACAAACCUCUUGUCAUGAUACAGCAAAUGUGAAAUGUAGCGCAAUGCAGUGUGAUUUGUAAUCUUCAUGAACUAAUGUAAUAUCAAUAGACAUCAGUCUGUGCAAAAAAUAUGUCUCAUCAUAACAUCUAAUAAGAUAUGCUGAAAAUCAAUAACCUUGUGAAAUGGACACAUAUCAGUGAAGGACACAGAUUGUGCUGCUAGGAAUCAAUUAAAAAUGUAAUACGCACCUGCAAUGAAAGUUACUAAACCACCAUCACCAAAAGAGAGGUUUAUAUCGUGCAUGGACACUUGUGAGAGCAGCUCCCUGCAGGCUGGCUGUUGGCUCUGUAAGCAAUUCUACUGUAAUAUCUGACCCUUUUUCCUUACCCUGGUAUUGCUUAAUCUAGCCCCAUAGUCAACAUCUAAACAAUAUUUAUGCCAUAUCUAGUUGAUUACAGUUUAAAAACCUGUAAAGAAAAGAGCCAAUGGCUUUGAAGAUUUUUGUGUACAAAUUAGGAAGCAGGUCUCCUGUAAAAUGAAAGGUUUACAAUUGUCUGUCAAUGACAUAGAUCAAUGUUCUUCAAUUUUCAAUCAUAAGGAUUUUUCUUAUGCAGCUUUUUUUGAUCUUAAUUUUCAAAUGUAUACUCCUAUCCAUACAGCAGAUUUUGAGAUUCCAUCACAACAGCCAUCUGUCAACUGAAAACCCUUUGUCUCAUCAUAUAGACGUGAUACCUACUAAUCAAAUUGUUCCAAUCAGCGAUUCAAAACAACAGUCUGAAAUAUUAGGUAUAUUUUCUCCCCAUUUUUUAAAACAGAUGGCUUAAAAAGUGAACAUUUUAUUAUUUUACUUUUUACUUCAUAAUCUGACAACAAUUUAAGGGUAAGUGUAAUUUUGAGACCUAAAUAGUUGAGCAUGGAACUGCUAUGACUUCAAAGACAGCAAUACCUGAGAUGGUGAAGUAAAACCAUCAGAGUAAUUCAGAGCUUAAACUUCUUACUCAGUGCAUCCCUUUCUAGCCUUCUUGGUGACCAGGCUCCCAAGAAAGCUGCCAGGAGCCUGAGCAAAAAGCUGUAGCAGUCCAAAAUGCCCGACUGUUACGACUGCUGCCAGCAGCCUGUGAUCUCACUGCGCUGUUGACAGCACUUAGGUGCAAUUGUGUAACUGGGGAUGCAAGGCAGAGCCUUAAUUCAGAAUUUCAUGGCACUUUCAAGUACAAGUCAGAAUUUUAAUGGUAUUUAAACCUUCCUUAUUAGUUACACAAUAAGUGUCUUUCAGCUAGUGUUCUGCAAAAUCCUUCCUGGUGGUCUGUAAAAGACAAGAUUUUGAAAGUCAGAGCUGGAGGCUGAAUGCUGGGUAUGUGCAGAUGGAUCGCUGUGCCUGAACUGAUGGGAGGAAUAAGAAAGUCUGAAGAAGUACUGCACUAGGAUAUCAUGGGCUAAUAAAGGUAGUAGCACAAAGUAUAAAACAGCAUGGCAUGAAUACAUUGGUUAUACAGGAUAAACUCACCUUCAAUUUUUCAGCUCUCCUGCUUGUGCGUUUGCUCUUUUUAAGUAAAGAAUGUCUGUCUGGUAGAUAUGAAAGCAAAGUUCAAUACCAGAGUGCUUAAGUUACAAGUCUUAGCUACAUCAAGUGAAAAUAGACAAUCCUACAUUUAAUGGUUUGCAUUUUCUCAUUCCAUUUAAAUGAGAACGAGUUAUCUGAAAGGAGCAUCAAAUAUUGCAGUUACUGUUAAGUGGUGUUUUCAUUUUCUUCUUCUUCCUAAUUCCUUUCAUAUAUGUUUAAAAAGUGUGUGAUUGUACAAUAUAUUAAUGAUUGCAAAGGCUCCCUAAAUUAAUUUCAUGGACUAAUUUUGUUUUAAAUGGAGGGUAGGAACCCAUCUGUUUCAAACAGCUUUGCGAUAUGCCUUUUGUGAGUUCAAGUCGCAUAUGGUAAUGACCACUUAAGUGAUCUCCUACAUGCACAACUACUUAUUUGGAAUAGUACUAACCAGUGCAUCUAUAAAAUGGUACUAGGAUUUUGGUGCACUGAAAUAGGUUCCUUCUUUCCCCUCCUCUCAAAAAUUCAGCCUUAUGUUAGUGUUUAUUAUAUACCAAAGAAAAGCUUGUGCUCUUCCCCACAGUGGAUGUGUUAUUCAUUGCAUAACUGCACUGGUUAGAUACUUUACAUUUUGCUUGCCUGUCCCUUAGAGAAAGAGUUGGGACAUUUUUUGUAGUAGUUACAACUAACACUACUUUUCUACCAUGAAUUGUUAUAACUAUAUAACAUUAUAAAUAUAAUUGAGGUAAUAAAAGCAAAGCAAACAGUCAAGAUUAUAUCCUGGGUUGUAUUCAGAAGCUAAAAGUGUGUGGGUUUGCUGUACAUCACACUUAUUUAGGAAGGAUAUCAUUUGGAAAUGAUCACAUGUGGAAGACACCAGCUGGGGGGCAUGUACCUCAUACUCGAGCCUACAUCAAAUGACUUACUUAAACAGGGAAAACGCCUUUUUCCGCAGGUGUCCUUUCUAUAGAUAAAGGUGUGUACAGCCUGCAGAUAUCUACAGUGGGCAAAGUAAACAAAUAGAAAUGUGUUCAGCUGACAAAUUUCUAAUGUAAAUGUUUUUGCCUUAAAGUGGAAGGAUCAAAGAAAUGCCUUGCAGAAUGGACCUUCCAUCACAGAGACAGGGAGUCAGAGGACUACAAUGGUGCUGCCUGGCCUCUGUUGUGGUGCAAUCUGUAAUGCAUCUGUCCUGUGAAGCAGGAAAGUACUAUUACAUUUAUUUUUCAAAUAGAAAGCUAAGACAUGGACAGAAACCAUGGGACCUGUAUGCACACAUAAGGGAACUCUGUAAAAGCUGGGGGGUUGAAGAAAGCAUUGUGGAGGCUCUGGCUAACACCAUUAGACCAUCCUUGCAAAAUUUAUGUUGCCAAGUCUGCUGCCAAUGAAAUCUGAAAGCAAACAUUAGCAGCCAAGAACAUAAUUCUAGUUAAUUGCCUUAGGAGGACACAAUUUCCAAGAUCUAGUAAAAGAUGGAGUUCAGCUCCCAUAUGUCCCAUUUGAUAGCCCAAGAAAACAUGCCCACAUUUUUCACAGAAACAGUGACAAAUGUCCGACUACUUGUCUCUCAACUGAAUAAAACUAAUCACCAGGCCCAGAGAUGGAAAUAGCUGCUCAUCAGCACCCAGCCUGAAAAGCUAGCUCAGGAUCUGUCACUGAGGAACUGUUUUCAUUCACCGUGUUGAAAGCAGCUUCAGAAGAUGACAGCUGACCUCCAGAGCACCUCUCUGUGCUGCUGUGUCAGCCAACAGAACAGCAGUGCCCUAUAUCGUGCAUGCAGCUACCCUGUCAUUUUGCUGGUUCAUUAUUAAAAAACAAACAAACAAACAAAAAAAACCCAACAAAAACCAAACAAACAAAAAACAAAACAAGAAGUUAGCAUGUCAUAUUCUUGACAAAAUACUAGAAAGAAGAUAGAGGCAUCAAUAUAAAUGCAGUCAACAGUACGUGCCAGCACUGCCUUGCUCAGUCAACAGUACGUGCCAGCACUGCCUUGCUGUGCUAUAGGUACAUGGGCUGUUCAUGCCAGAGGGACACUGGUGUGUAGCCCCAGGGUGACAGCGAGGGCUGGAAGGCUCGGAGAGAGAGGACUGUCUGUGGGAGCAUAACACUUCUGAUUGGGGAUGUCCUGUCUCUGCGUGGCUCUAAGGCAUAUGAAUUCUUCAGCUGGAUUAAAGAUAUCAUGUUUCUUUUUAGCACUUACAGUGUCAUGUUCAAGGAGAUGCAGUUGCCCUCUCCACACAUGGGAAGAUGGUCCUGCUGUGCUGGUGCAAGUUUUUUGAUGUAAUUCCCAGGUUUGUUUGAAUAAAGUUGGCUAAUUGGGCUGUUGAUGUGCGUGCUGGUUUGUUAUACCAGACCUGACCCUGUGGAGUGAAUACCUUUCAGAUGUCAUGGCGACAGCCCCAGCCUGGGUCACUUGCUCAGAGGACAGUGGGGAAUGUCUCAGUAGCCACCAAGCAGACCUGGAGGCUCAUUGCAAACAGGGGAGCAAGAGGGUUGUGGAGCAGGACUGUGACAGACCUCAGUGUUUAAUCCAGGCCUUCUGGGCAUACCUUUAUCUACCCAAACACCAUUAGUAUUUGCUAAAUGGUCAUUUUUUGAAACCACUGAAAAUCUUCACCUUCCCCUUUUAUAUAUGAUACAUGUGAAACUGCUCAUCUAAAAAGAGUAUAUUGACACCUUAUUUAGUGAAAAUGGGCGCACAAGGAAAGCAGGCACAAAUUGCACAGCAAUUUUUUACCUUAAAUAUUGAAGAAAAUAUAUUUUAUUCUGUCUACCAUGAGAUUAAAGAGCAAAAAACAUUAGGAAGGUCAAGGUAAGUAAUCGUAACACACCAGCUAAUGUGUAUUUCCUUGAAAUCUUUCAGGUUUGUACAGAGUAAUGACAUUUCUGAACUUCAGUAACUUCCACACAGAAACACAGCCCAUUUUGACAGGCCUCAGUAAAUCAUUUAAAAUCAUAAGGGCUGCCAUUAUGCAGCCUGUGAGAUAAAGUUAGACAUAGCGUAUUUUACUGCAAUUGGGCUUCAAUUUCACUCUAGAUUUUAGGUGACAUAAAGCUCAAAAGGAGCUCCUGAUACUACUCUGCCAGAGAGGAGAUCAACAUUAUAAAUACAAGUUUUGACUACACAGCUGAGGAAAAUUGAAGCAAUUAUUAUUAUGGAAGGACCAAGGUGAUAAGUACCAUGUUAUACAUGAACAACUGUCAGUCAGAUGUGCCAAGAAAGGUCAUAAUCUGUUAUAUUAAUGUCAUAGAUGUUAUCAUAAACUGACAUCAGGAUGGUAAACUGGGAUUCUUGUGCCUUUUUUUUUUUUUUAAGUGCUGUUGUUUGUAAAUUUCACUGUGUCCUGGAAAGGCAAGUUGAAUAUUGUUUUUUCUCUCAAAAUAAAGGACUUUAAAGAUUUUCAGCAUAACAUAAGUAGUUUUGUUUUUUAUUAUCUUAAAGUAGCUGACUGAAGUGUCACUGCAGAAUUCAAGAUACUGUGAUCAAACGAGGGAUGAGAAACCAGCAGCACAAUAGUACCUGACUAUUUAGAUAUCGUCCCUCCUUGCUUUAUUUGAACUGUAGCUGUCACACCUGCAUCACUUGGGCAGAUGUGGGAACUCCUGCCCUGGCUGCUGACCACACCAAGCCAGCACUGUGCCCUUUGCAAGCUACUCCCUUGACAUUCAUUUUUUUUUCUAUAUCAAAUAUGAACCAGGGUAGCACUCAGGAGUUUUUGACAGUGGAAUGAGAGAGUAUAAAUCGUAUUUUAUGUCUUUUGUGUUGCCAAACAUUUUCACACCAACAAAGCAGCUCAAUGGAUGUCACCAGUGCAUGGCUCCUCUGAAUUCACCCUGGGCUCCCAGAAGAGCAUCACCAGGGAUGGAGAAAGCAGAGUGCUCUCUAAUGAGACUUCCUUCUUGCCAGCACCAAGGGGUGUGGCAUCCAUUGCUGACCAGUUAAGAACCAGGAGUAAAUUCUUGUCACCUUGUGUAAAUCUGCUCCCAACACAGUCUCCCAAUCAAGGGUAAGGGAGGUGACUGCUGAGCCCAUCCAAAACUAUACCCUCAUGUCCAGACUCACUAACUUUACAAGUUCUGCAAAGGAGUGGGAUUACCCUGAAAUGUCGGUGCAUUGGAGGUGAAACAACUACCCAGUUAACACUGAACAACUUGGUUUCCAGCAUUUGGGUGAAUGGUAUGGUAAACUCCAGAAAUGCAAGAGGAAUUUAAGGUGAGUUUUCACAUCCCAGGCAGAGUCCAAAGACAAAAGCAGGGUAAGUACUUCUGGAAAGUGCCAUGCUGUAUUUACCAACCACAUCAGAUCAGGGCAGUGGUUUUAAAUCAGACUUAAAAUUCAGCCUUUCCAGCAGACUCAUGCUGAUGUACGGGUGUGAUAACAUUGACGCAGGCAGGAGACAGCCACCAGUGAGUCACCGCAGCACUUCCUGCAGAAGCCGGCUGUCUGCGGUGGGCAUCCCAUUGCACUGCUCAUCUAGUCGGGCUCGUAAAAAUCACCCAUCUAGUCGAGCUUGUACAAUCUACAAAUAAGCCGUGCUUGUAUCAUGCAGGUAAAUGUUCGUAGUGAAACUGAUAUAUGCUGGCUUGAAUUGUAUAAGAUAACUGCAAACCAUUACUUCAAGUGAGAGCAUAAUGCUUGGAACCACAGGCAGGAAAAUACAUUUACAGACUAUCAAAUUAUCUUGGGAUAAUAGUAUAAUGCUUUAUGCUGCUGCACUGUGUGUUCUGAUAACUGAGCAAAUAAUACUACAGCUGGAAAAGGCUCAGAAUUUCAGAGAGAAGAGAUGUCAUAAGCAGAGUUCUUCCACAGGAGAGACUGUUUUUUCUGUAUUAUUUGGGGGGAGUAUUAAAAAAAAAGCAGUUAUUUUGUUAUGACUCAGAACUACAUAGAGUAACAUUGUAUGAUAAACAAAACCUUUAGACAAUUUGUCUAUUUUAUAACAUAACCUGCAAAGUGCUUCCUUUUUUCAUACAAGGUUACUUCUCUCUGUGCCUGCAACAAUAUUCUUUUGAUCAAAUGUGUUUUCAGAACUGGCACAAACAAACCAAGUAGCUAAGCAACUAUAGCAGCUGGCAUGCACAAUUGCUGUUUGAAUGUAAAAUUUUUCAAGCACAUUUUAGAGAAAACAGUGUGUUCUUUGAAAUUCUGAAACUAAAGCUAUAUACCAUAGUGCUGUUCAUGAUGUCUGUAGAAGUAUAUGACACCCAAAGUGCUUUUAGGAAGCUCCAAGGUAUAUCAAAGAGCAUUAACUUCAGCACAGCUGAGAAUGUCCCCAGAUUCAUUUAUGAAUACAUAUCUCUUAUAUCCUGUAUGUUAACUACAGUUAACAUAGUCUUGGUCAUUGAGAAUAAUCCACAGAGUAAGCCUAUUAGGUGAGAUUUAGUAUAUACAUUUUUCUGCUCACAUCUGCUUGCCUGACAUAUGUAAUCUGCCUGGAUGUCACAGCUUACAUCCUAUUUUCAUUGGAGCAUAAUGAAACUUGAUCGGUGUCUUCAUCUUCUUCUCUGUCUCUCUAAGCAAUAUUUCUUGUCAGCUUCUCCUUACCAGGACUCUUUGGUGUGAUUGUUAACCAGCUCCUUUAUCAAAGGGGAAUACAUGCAAGGCUUGCAGGCAAUCAUUGUUUGUGCAAAAUGGGUGAAGAAAGUGUUAAUUCAAAGACAGUAAGAAAAUAUAAGUGGUGUAGUAAUUUCCUAAUCUGAACUUUCUGUACUUCCUUUUCCUACAAAGCUCUGGCAUAUCACUAUUUUCGCAACAAUCAAUCAGUACUAGCUUUCUGAAGACUUAUGUUUCAUUUUAAUUCUUACAAAUCUGAACUGUAGGCACUUCAGUAAUUUUAGAACCGCUUAGUCCAAGAGGUAAAUUAAAAUUAGGGAAAAUUAGACCAUUUCUAAUUAGAUGGUUAUUACACAGAAUAAUGAUGAUUAUUGGUUCUGCUUAAUAAAACUGUCAGCCAAUGCAAAAUAUAUAUUAAGUGAAAUUACAUUACAGUAUAUUUCUGUCAACUCAGAAAUCCAGUGCAUUGCUUUCCCACAAACCAUGAGCGUAACAAAAUGUUAGACAGUGCUUCCUUUUCCAAAUAGGAUGAAAUGUGGAGCUUUCAAAAACAACUCUUCAAAGCCCUGAUUUAAAGACCCUUACAUCCAAUGUGGUGAAGACUCAUGAUGACUUCUGUGCCAUGUAGAUCAGGACUUCACUAAAAUCAGCUGUGUUGUCUGCUAUUGUCUGUACUAGAUAUCUAGAUAAUGCUAUUGCAGUGUAUAUUUUACAGUAUUAUUAGCCUACUAAUGAAAAAAACUCAUAGGCACACAUUCCCAUUCCCCUUGCCUCACUGAGUUCAUUGAUUGCUGGUUCACCUGCUUUUCUGUUCUCAUUAACCUGCAAAUUAGGAGAUGGACUUCACAGAGUGAACUACACAUUUAAUUUCUAAGGUGAAAACAAUGAGGAAAAUUAUCUAUUAGCUAAAAAUGAGAUCCUGCUGUAUAAAACAUGACACUGGAGUCCCAAAUGCUUAGAGGUGAUUGGUCACAAAAUCUGAAUUCUCAGCAUUUUUUUGUUUAAAAGCAGGACAUGAUAUCAAACCUUGCCUUCAGCAAGGACCACUGUGCUGAGGAACGAGAGCCAUCCCUCUGGGACGGUGAGUCCCUGCCUCUGCACUGGAAGCCUCUGUGGCAGCAAACUGACAAAGGGGGAGGAAGAAAAGAGGAGCGGAGUGAAAAGCAUGUUUCUGUGUAGGGUUUUAUCUAAAAGAAUGUGUUUUUGUGGCCUAUUUUGAUAUAAACUAAGCCACGUUUGUCUUACAGAAAAGGUUUUUACUGCAGCUACAGAAGCAGUGUAUUUUAUAGAUUCUGAGACUAAGCAAGCAGUAACAAGUGCAUGAUGAGACACACCUGUGCCAUUGAUCUGGUGAACUGGGGCAUGGAGGUGAGCGAGUCUUUCUGUGGUGCAUGCUGAAACCUGGAGAAGCACAGAUUUUCCUAUAUAAUUUUAUUUAUUUGAGAGUACUAUUGUUCCUGCAAAUAGCAAUGUGUUAUCUUAAGUGAGGAUGAUAACAUAGUUAAUAAGUCACAACAUGUGUUGUUAUAAGGUUUUUACCAUGCUUUGAAACAUUUACUAUUCAACAAGAUUUCUCCUUUUAUGAAGCCCAUUUUGUAGAGUUCCAUAAACAAGGUUCAACAGUCACAAUUUCAUUAGCAUUAUAUUGUUGCCAUGGUAAUGCGAUACCAAUUCAAUUGAUGGGCUUUUCUUCCUGGGCUUAUUAUAGAAUUGCUCUUCCUGUCGAAGAUACAUCUAUAUGGAAACAGAAAAUAGACUUUACCAUCUGAAUAUUAGCACAAAAUUUCAUCCUAUGCUAAUUUGGAUAGGAAUGUAUCAUGUUAUUGGCGUCAGACUCAGAAAUCAUCAGAGACACAAUAGAAGUUACUAAACAUCAUACACAGAAAAGUUGCAGUCCAAAAUUAGGAAAAUUACUUGCAUUGUUUGUUGUGGUAUCUGAAUUUGUUAUUGCAAAAGCACUUUGGUCUGCUGUGAUGAUUCUCUGUAAUGCUGUUGGGAGGACACAGUGCUGCAGGUGGUAAUAUCAAAGGGAAAAAAAGGGCAGUAACGAAUGCUAAAGAACAAAAUGUGAAAGGAUGUUGGUCCUUCUACUGUUUGCAUGUUUUGCAGCAUGUUUUGGUGAAACUGCUGCCAAAAGCAAUGCCAUGGUUUUCCGAUCUGUAAAAUGGGGAUAAUGAUCCCUCACCCCCUGUGCCGAGCACCUGGCAUACACCUAAUAACAAGUGAUAGCUAGUACUGCUAAACAUCGUUAUUAAGUAGCAAUGUUUUUAACAGCUCCAGGAAAAUACACUGCACAUCUAUAAUUUGAGAAAUUUCACUGGGAAAAUCUGGACUCACCCAGGGAAACACAGAAGGGUUGGCAGACCGAGCAGGCAACAGAACAUACACACUUAUGGAGGAAAGAUACAUCAUUAAAAAAUCAUGUCAGUUCGUAGUUUUUUAAAAAUCAAGAAUAUUGUAGGCUACAGCAGAAGUAUCUGCAGCAAUCUGAGCAAGCAGAGCAAUAAUACAAUAUAAGGCAACAGAGAGGUGGCAUGUUCAUUGUAUAUUGAAACAUUUUCUUGUGUAUUUUCACUGUUUUUUUAUGAUUGUUUCCUAUUUAGAUAGGAAAUAUCUUUUUCCAUUCUGACACAUAAUGUUCAGUCUAUCAUUUCUUAGCUUAAUCAUGUUGUGUUCUUUGCAGCAGCAAGGGUAAAUUACAGGCAGCAUAGUAUUCAGUAUAAUCAAAGAUGUGUUCCAUUUUACAUGAUAAGUUUUGUCUGAUUUACGGAGGCAGUAUCUUCUCCAGCUGAGCAAGGAAAGAGAGACCUUACUUGCAGAUAAAAAACACUUCAGAGGAGACACUUCUCCUCCAUUAGGAUACUAUUGUUCAUACAAAAAAAUAACCAUUGUUACUACUAUUAUCUAUUUAUUUAUUUUUACCAUGAUACAGCCACAGGACAUAGGUGAGACUGGGACCUACUUGUGCUAAGCACAGCAAAACCACACAGAGAGCCACAGUCUCCUCCUCAGACAAUCUAUAAGGUUAAGAGCCAUGAGAAAGACCAAAGAGGAAAUAUGGAGAGACAGCUUAAGUAACUGACUGAAAGUCGGAGAAGACAGUGGCAGAAGCAGAACAGGUCUCCAGCCCCAGUGCCCUCCAUCUGGAUGCUUUCCCAUCUCAGGGAUGGAGAUAUUUGGAGAUAUCAUCUCCCAAAUGGUGAGGAUUCAGGCUCUAACUCAUAGACAGAGCCACAUUUUACCUCCUGUUUUCAAUGGCUGCAUCUAUGUUGCUGAGCAGGGGCAGCCUGAGGGAAAACUUGAAGUCAGCUGUGCAGCCCACCCGUAUUCCCUAUUAAAACACCUUCAGGCUGGCUCCAGGGCAACUCUGCUAAUCCUCCCAGGGACAAAGGCUCAGGAACAUCCUACAUUUUCGAGCAUGAUCAGGAUCAUGAGGGUCAGGGUACCUGCCAGAGGAAUAUUAAGGGGUUUCACCACCACCACUGAGGCAACAGAAAUCAGGCUUUCUUCUUUGACGGUAGGCACUUCCAAAGCCAAGCCUGAACAGACAGAGAGGCUGGGGGUGAGAGAGGAGAUUUUGGUCACAAGAGCAAAAAGUCAGUCUGCGGCAGAAUUUGAAGGCUUUGAUCAGGAAGAAGUAUGUUGUCUUUGACAAUGAAAGUAUUGGCUUGGUGUUUUUCUUGCUUUCUCCCUCUUUCUCUCUCUCUUAAAAGUCCAUGUAAUGUAAAACUCUUAAACUCUGGGGGAGGAAGCAUUAAUCUUCCGAACAGUAAAUACUUACUUUUGCUGUGUGGUACCUGCUGACUUUACUGCUGUUGCAACCUUUUAAAAUGCUUCAAGGAAACCUCAUUAGAUUUCAACCUUUUUUCUUUAUUUUAAUCAGGGAAUCUGAAGAGAGUUUCUAAUAAUUUUAGUUUAACUUUUUAAUAAAAACUGCAAAUAAUAUGCUAGCAUGGAUUUGAUCUCAUAUACAUAUCUGAUAAAAAUUCUGAUUUGUAGUAAAAUUCAUUAGCCAGGGGUCUGUUGUCAUCAUAUUAAUGAACAUAAAGGCUGAAAGCUUUAAAAUGGCAAUAUUACAGUGAGCCAAUAUUUUUUAGAAUGGUUUUGCAUCAUGCAUUCAGUAUUGGUGAAGAUUAAGAUUUAACAUGGAGAAGCAAUAUCCAUUAUGAUGGGAUUGUCCACAGUGAAUUGAGUAGGACAUUUGCUUAAUAAAAAGUAUUUAUCUUAAUGAUUUAAGAAGUGUGUCCUACUACUGAACUGAUGAUCUAAAUUAGUUUCCUAUAAUCAGUUCACUAUUGAUGACUCUCCUUAUACCAAACAGAAGAAGAAAAAGGUAAGAGUGAGAGGAAAGUAACAGAUCAAACUGAGAAUUUAAAGCAACUUGAGAAAUAAUGAUUAAUUAACACUACACCAUGAGUAGAAAUUACACACAAUCACACCCAUAAUGCAGACAGCUUAACAGAGCCCUAAAAUGGUGCAGUUCCAGCAGAAAUUAGGAAGCCGAAACAUGAAGAAAAGCUCAUAUUCCCACUGUCACCUGCUGGACCUGUGCUACUUCACCCUCCCCUCAUGAGGCCUCAGAGCACAUUGGGGAGCUGACCUCGAGGGGUGGGCAGGAGCUCUGCCGCUGUGGGUGUAGUGCGGGGGUCUCAUGGGGUCUCAGCAGCCAGGUCCUGGGGCAGCAGGGCUGCUGUGGCUGAGGAAUUCAGGUAGAGAGUGGGAAGCACAGCCAAGGCAAAGGCCAGAUCUACAGAGAGGGCAGGAGCUAGUCUAACCUGCUCCCUAGAGUGGGUUUAAGUAUCUGUUUGCAAAAACACACCUUUAGGGGAGAGGCCCAACUGGGGGAGUGUUUCAACUUAUCUCAAUGUUACAGCUGGACAGCCUGUCUCCUGGACUGAUCGGUCUUCCUUCCUUGCCAUGCCAGAUGACCCAUGGAGAGUUGUAGAUCUUCAGUCUGUGGGGACAAUCUAACACCAGAAAAUUCUGGGGCUGCUACUACAAGGUGGUCCUCUGACCCUGCCUCCAGUCUGUGCUACCAGACCUGGUCCUGUGACAGCAGAGGGAGUGACACCCGGACACCCAGCAUCCCGCUGCCCCCAGUCACUGCAAAAGGGCGUUUGCUGCUGCCGGACACCAGCUGCCUGACGCCCAGCCCAGCUCGACUGCUGGCGGAGACGCUGCUGGGACCAGUUCCCCCCACCUGGUGCUGCCUGCCCUGUUCUUCUGAGUGAUGCCCCAGCCCACUCCUGUCUCAUUGUGCUCCUGCCUCUGGGCCAAGUUGCAUUUUCAAUUAUCACAAUACACAAUGCAGAUGCUAUGUGAAACAGCCAGCGUGACUCAAGCAGGCUGAGCUCAGUAGAAAUACAGUUAAAUCAAAAGGACUGCUAAACUACCAGGAGGCUGAUUGGAACCACAAGAUACCAAUGCCAUAUCCUGUGGCUUUUAUGUUGGUGGAUGUAGAUUUUUAGCCAUUAGAGUCUAGCUAUCCAACAGAUAACAACCAGAGGAAAUGCAUCUGGGCAUCAUCAAUGGUGAAUAAGUGAUACAUUUUUGCCAAUAAACGGAAGACCUGUGCCAGAAGGAAAAAACUUUUGAGAUACCUACAAAUAUAAUCAGGCAUGCAAUCUGUGGUAGCUUCUAACUAUGUACAACUUAAAGAAGCUCCCUGAUCACUCACAAUACAUUUUAAAUGGUAUGUCAAGAGAGCUCUGAUCUCAGAGAGUUGAUGAGUGGUUACACUGCCAACUCCAAAUUCAGGCAAGGAAAUAAAUAGCAAGUGUAGGUCUUAAUGUAUGUAUUUGUACAAACAGUAACAAAUCCCUGGCUUGGGUAGGUGGGGGUAAAAUGCUAUGAAAAAAGAGGGAGAAAUAAGAAAAAAAUACAAUAACGUAAAAUGUACCUGUUAUUAACUUCUAGAAAAGCUCAACAGCUAGAAUUUUAGCUUGUGGUAUGUAGACAAAUGUAAAAAGAGCAACACAUUGAGUGUGUUUUUCUCCAGAGCAAAAUGAAAUAGGCAUACAGAGCAAAUUAUAAUAUUUAGUACUUUCAAGGCAAAUUCUAGUUGAGGAUCAUGAAGUAAUUUGAAAUUAUUAAUGAAUUAGCCUCACAGCUAGCUUUCAGGUAGAUAAUAAUGAUAAUUAUUACUAUAAAUAAAUACUAUUAUUAUCAUUCUUGCUCCAAAUAAAUGAAAAUUGAGGCAUAGAGAAUUUAUGCAUUUGUCCAAAGUCUGUAUUUUACCGCUGUAACCAUCCUUCUCUAGAACUAUUAUAUAUCGAGUUUAUAGUUUUCCAAAUACUGUAUGUGAUACACUAUUCAGUUUAUGAGCUCUAAAAACCAACCAGCUGAGCUUCCUUAUGAAACAAUGCCUGUGAACAUCUCCAUUUGCAUUUGAAUUCUCAAGCAGCGACAAUCCUGCUUAAAAAAAAUAUAAAGAAAAAAAGGAAUCAUGGAAAUCAGUACAAAAUCUGUCAAGGCCCCAUCUGUGACUGGGAAUCAGAAUAUCGCUAAGAAGCUCUGAGGAACAAAGUUCAUUCCAAGUCUAAGGCAUAGUGCUUUUUUGUCGAUGAAAUUAAUUCAAGCAGGGUGAAAUGAGGGCACAUACCAUGAAAAACUCUGUUCCUCCACUGACGGGUAAAGGAAAGCAGCAUGUCUGCUGUGUAUGUGAUCCUGGUUUUGGUACAUGUAGCCAUGCUUUAAUAUAAUACUAAAGGUUUUACAUGGCAAAAUGGUCAGUGUUCUCACAUCUCCUUUUGUUGCCAUGCAGACCCACUGCUUCUCUGAGGAGUAUCGGGGAACGAGUGAUCUCUGGUCCUAACAAGAUGAGCUUGCUGCAAAAAGCAAGCUUUCAUAGCCAGCUACCUGAAGUAGUAUGGAAAUAAAAUAAUAGACUCCACCCUGGUCUUGAAAAUACCCCUACAAACAUGUUUACUUCCUGCUGGAUGGCAAUAUAUAAAGUUUAGGGACACUUAUUUGUAGGAUGUCUAUAUAUUUCCUAUUCAGGAUCUGAAUUUCUAAGAGUCUUGGCAUUAGCUUUUUGCUCUCACAUGUAAUAUUUGGAACGAACUAUAGGAAAUAGGAAAACCACAGCAUUAACACCAUUCUAAUGCACCAUCUUAUUUUUCUUUCCUUUUUUUUCUUUUUUUUUUUUUUUUUAACUGUUAGAGUAUGCAAAUGUUCUGUUAACUGGUCCUCAUGUUUUCAUUUUAUUGAAUUGCUUUCAGUAUGGUAAAUAAAUAUUCAUAAAGAAAUGUGGACAAUAAAUCAUUUCAAAUAGUUCAAAGCCAUUUUCCUUCUACACUGCAUAUAUAUUCAGCUGUGACUCGCCUUUAAUAUUUCAUUCAAAAGAGAGACUUGUAGAAGGACAAUAGAGAUAAUGUGUCAAGUAGUAAUUAAAAGAGUGGGUAAUGAUUAAAACCAUUUUAUCUACAUUGUGCUCUGUCAAAUUCAUAAUCUCCUGUGUUUGUUAAGAUGACUUUCUACUUGCUUUAUACAGAAACUCAAAAUAAACUUCUGUUUGAAGACACUGCACAGAACAAAAUAUUUUAACCCCAAGCUUGUGGGGUGCAGAGCCCUUCCCAGCUCUGGAGUUUUGGUAUAUCUUCUGUACCAUCCUACAGAAGAUAAACUCAGGCAGGCACUGUCCCUCCUGCCAACACUGGGACUUCUCUGGGAAGCAGAUCCAGGUAUGGGGCAGAAGAGAACCAAGUGGCACCCCAAUGUGUACAGGCAUUUGUAACCUCUCUCACCAUUCAGAUUUAAGCUAAGAGCUUCAAAAGAAAUCAAAGUUAGAGAUCUGUUUAGCUUAUACAUUUGGGGACCUUGGUUCAAAUCCAAGUAACAAUGGUGUUCCUUGUCUCAUUUUAUGCAUUUUGGCUGCUAAUACACAUAUUUGGACCAAACUCAUUAUCUUUCCUGAUUUGUUGCUGACUUUAGGCCCUGAUUCAACAGAGCACUUACAUACAGACUUAAAUAAAUUGAUUUAAGAAAGCAUUCCUCUUUGUGUUUAAUCUUGGGCAGACAUUCAACUUUGAAAUCAAUGGGACUCAUGAGCAGCCCUGACCUUGGGGUCUAAAUGGUUGCUGAAUCAGUGCAUUGACAGAAACAUACUGGAAAAUAUAAUAUCCAUGUCUAAUCAGAAUUUUAGUCUCUACUUUCAUGGGAAAUUACCCAUAGAUAACACAUUAUUCUGCUCAAGAAAUCCAUUUUAUAGCAUUUAUUAGAAAGCCUCAAUUCACAUUGUCUGUUUAUGCGAAAGGUACCAGAUGAACAGUGUCAUUCCUUAAUAUAUCUGUAACAGUCUUUAAAUGAAAAAAAAUACAGGAAAAGUGCUGGCACAGGUGGUCAUUACUAAUUAUUUACAGACUUUCUCAGUUGCCUGCCACAUGGCAAUCCUUUGGAGGACGGGCAGAUGGAAGGUAAAGCAGAGUGGUUGUGAAAUCCCAUGGACUUGCAGACAAUUGCAUAUGAAAGAUCAUGUUAUGCAGUAUCUAAAAAUGAAACUCAACCCUAAGAAUAACAUUUAUAAGAGCUCUCUCUGCCCUGUCUACAUAGGGAAUUUUUAGUGAUCACAUUUUUAUCACACAAUGAGAGCAGCAAGGGUAAAAACAGCAGAUCUUUCUUGUAUUAUGGUGUAGAGGUUAUACAAGUGCAACCAUAGCCAAGUCUAUGAGAUUACAAGAAGCAGUUGUUAAAAUAAUUGGGGCUAUGUUGUAUGAAAUAAAAUAGUUUUCUUGCCAUUCUUUAAAAUGUUUCACACCUUAGUCUUAUUUACUGUAUUUCAAACAUGACAAACAAGGACUCUUUAAUGUUGUUUACAGAUUUGACACACAGACAUAGGAGGGGAACUAAAUUAUGAUAGGUCCCAUUAUGUAAUCUAAUUCAACGAAUGACAAGAAUGAAGAUCAUAAGAAGCUGGAGGAAGAGUCAAGGGGUGCUGCCUCUCUGUCCAACUAUGGAGGACACCAUGAUCCACAUUAUUCCACUGGGUUCUGGGGGCAGAGUUUGGGAAUAAUGCAUAAAGAAGAGCUGUGCAGUGUUCACCUGGCUCAUAGUGGUAGAAACUCUUGCAGUUCCUGGUAUCUAUCUUAAUGCUCCCCACACUUGCUUUAAAGCUGAUGAGCCAGAAAUAUGCAGCUGCUGUGUUGCAGGCUCAUUGCAUGCAAGCUCUGUAUUGCCUGCAAGCCUCGGAAUCAACGUCCCUUAGAUCAAAGGGCAGACUGUAAAAGGAGAGCACAGAAGGUCAUGACCUAUCUUAUCCGUCUGUAUAAUUCUCAAAUAACCAAAAAACCCCUGAAGCUCCCCUUUCCA